rnacentral:rRNA from 1 species
AGUCGAGUGGGUUUAGGCCCACCGGCAGACGGGUUAGUAACACGUAGGCAUUUACCCCGAAGUUGAGGAUAAUCCCGGGAAACCGGGAAUAAUACUCAAUGGACCUGAUUUAAAAGGUAAAGAUUUAUCGCUUCGGGAGGAGCCUGCGUCCUAUCAGCUUGUUGGUGAGGUAAUGGCUCACCAAGGCUAUGACGGGUAGGGGGCGUGAGAGCGCGACCCCCAACACUGGAACUGAGACACGGUCCAGACUCCUACGGGAGGCAGCAGCCGAGAAUAUUCGACAAUGGGGGAAACCCUGAUCGAGCGACGCCGCGUGUGGGAUGAAGCCCUGCGGGGUGUAAACCACUUUUCUGCUUGAGGAAUUUCUGACGUUAGAGCAGGAAUAAGGGGCUGCUAACUUCGUGCCAGCAGCAGCGGUAAUACGAAGGCCCCGAGCGUUAUCCGGAAUUAUUGGGCGUAAAGGGUCCGUAGGCGGUGUGCAUAGUCGCAGGUUAAAGCUCCUGGCUCAACUGGGAACAGGCUUGCGAAACGUGCGCACUAGAGGAUGUGAGAGGCAUGUGGAACUCACGGUGUAGCGGUGAAAUGCGUUGAUAUCGUGGGGAACACCAAAGGCGAAGGCAACAUGCUGGCGCAUUCCUGACGCUGAGGGACGAAAGCGUGGGUAGCGAAUGGGAUUAGAUACCCCAGUAGUCCACGCUGUAAACGUUGAACACUAGCCAUGUGGAGUAUCGACCCUCCAUGUGGCGAGC